UACGUAGGCAGCGAGCGUUGUUCGGAGUUACUGGGCGUAAAGCGUGCGUAGGCGGUGUUCCAAGUCUGUUGUGAAAUCUCCCGGCUUAACUGGGAGGGUGCGGCGGAAACUGGGACGCUGGAGUGCGGGAGAGGUAAGCGGAAUUCCUGGUGUAGCGGUGAAAUGCGUAGAUAUCAGGAGGAACACCUGCGGUGUAGACGGCUUACUGGACCGUAACUGACGCUGAGGCACGAAAGCGUGGGUAGCAAACAGG
rnacentral:rRNA from 1 species